CUUAUUCUUCCCACAGGUGGUGUUGACACUGCUGCCGUUGGUAGAGUUUUUGACAUUUCCAGUGGUGACAGACUGGGAUUGUCUGAGGUGGAACAGGUCCAGAUGGUUGUGGAUGCUGUGAAAUGUAUGAUUGAGAUGGAAAAUAAGCUUCAGAAGGGACAGGCCAUCGAUGACCUUGUGGCCGCACAGAAGUAGAGGGAAAUAGAGACUUACAAACCAUUAAAUUGUUGGAGGUUAAAAAUAAGGCUGUCAUCACAAAGAUUACAUUGAAAUGGGUAAAGAGACCACCAGUGGGGAGUUGAAACAACUAGACUUACAGGAAGAAUCCACCAGCUCAGAAGGAUGAAGAAUACACCUAUGAAUAUUUGCCUUGUAGGACUGAAAAAUCUAUAGAGAAAUUGGGUUAUUUCUAUGCCUACCCCUUUCCUCAUUAUCUAAUGUAUUUUGUGACCCUCUUAUGAACGCCUGAAGACAAUAAAACCAUAAUGUCACCUCUGAGGAAGUAUUGUGUCCGUCCAUUGUACCAAAUCU